GAUGAACGCUGGCGGCGUGCUUAACACAUGCAAGUCGAACGGGAAUUACUUUAUUGAAGCUUCGGUCGAUAUGAUUUAAUUCUAGUGGCGGACGGGUGAGUAACGCGUGGGUAACCUGCCUUAUACAGGGGGAUAACAGUCAGAAAUGACUGCUAAUACCGCAUAAGCGCACAGAGCUGCAUGGCUCAGUGCGAAAAACUCCGGUGGUAUAAGAUGGACCCGCGUUGGAUUAGCUAGUUGGUGAGGUAACGGCCCACCAAGGCGACGAUCCAUAGCCGGCCUGAGAGGGUGAACGGCCACAUUGGGACUGAGACACGGCCCAGACUCCUACGGGAGGCAGCAGUGGGGAAUAUUGCACAAUGGGGGAAACCCUGAUGCAGCGACGCCGCGUGAAGGAAGAAGUAUCUCGGUAUGUAAACUUCUAUCAGCAGGGAAG
rnacentral:rRNA from 1 species